rnacentral:rRNA from 1 species
CCUACGGGUGGCAGCAGUGGGGGAUAUUGCACAAUGGGGGAAACCCUGAUGCAGCGACGCCGCGUGGGUGAAGAAGCGCCUCGGCGCGUAAAGCCCUGUCAGCAGGGAAGAAAAUGACGGUACCUGAAGAAGAAGCCCCGGCUAACUACGUGCCAGCAGCCGCGGUAAUACGUAGGGGGCAAGCGUUAUCCGGAUUUACUGGGUGGAAAGGGGGCGCAGACGGCGUAGAAAGCCAGGGGUGAAAGCCGGGGCCCAAACCCGGGGCUGUGCUUGGAACUGCGGGGCUAGAGUGCAGGAGGGGCAGGCGGAAUGCCUGGUGUAGCGGUGAAAUGCGUAGAUAUCAGGAGGAACACCGGUGGCGAAGGCGGCCUGCUGGACUGCAACUGACGUUGAGGCCCGAAAGCGUGGGGAGCAAACAGGAUUAGAUACCCGGGUAGUC